rnacentral:rRNA from 1 species
CAGUCGCGCGGUAAUACGUAGGGUGCAAGCGUUAAUCGGAAUUACUGGGCGUAAAGCGUGCGCAGGCGGUUAUAUAAGACAGAUGUGAAAUCCCCGGGCUCAACCUGGGAACUGCAUUUGUGACUGUAUAGCUAGAGUACGGCAGAGGGGGAUGGAAUUCCGCGUGUAGCAGUGAAAUGCGUAGAUAUGCGGAGGAACACCGAUGGCGAAGGCAAUCCCCUGGGCCUGUACUGACGCUCAUGCACGAAAGCGUGGGGAGCAAACAGGAUUAGAUACCCCUGUAGUCCCUGUCUCUUAUACA